rnacentral:lncRNA from 1 species
UAGUUUUCUAUUUCUACAAGUGAUCAACGAGGAAAAUAUGGCAGAAAUACUAAAAUUUGUUUAUGUUAUGAUUAUUUUUCAAUUCAUUUUUGUCACUGUAACUGAAGGCGUACGUAAGUUCAUUUGCUGUUUACCUUCUCCCUUAUAUUUGAUUGAAUGACUUAUUUGCUAUUAAUAAUAUUCUUUUUUUUAUUAAUUAUAAAUUUGACAUAACAGGUUUGAUAAUAUGCUCUGAGGAUAAAGAAUGUUAUCAACGAGUAGAGUGUAACGCUCCUCAAAUUCCAAAGUGCAUAUCUGAUUUAUGUGAUUGUGCGUGAGUCAUAAUUAAGUUCAGAAAUAAUUUUAUGGCACUUCUAAGACUAUCUAUAUUUAAAAUUAUAAUAUUUGUACUAUUAUUGAUAUUUCUCACAUUUAAGUAUUUGUUCAGUCGAAAUAAUAUUAUUGUAGUAUUCGGCUGUUGAUAUUUUACAAAUAUUUUGUUUAUUAGGAAGAAUAUGUAAUUAUUUUUUAAUGAUAUAUAUAUAUA